rnacentral:rRNA from 1 species
UACAGAGGGGGCAAGCGUUGUUCGGAAUUACUGGGCGUAAAGGGCGCGUAGGCGGCCUGUUAAGUCGAACGUGAAAUCCCCGGGCUCAACCCGGGAACUGCGUCCGAGACUGGCAGGCUCGAAUCCGGGAGAGGGAUGUGGAAUUCCAGGUGUAGCGGUGAAAUGCGUAGAGAUCAUGAGGAAGACCAGUGGCGAAGGCGGGUCUCUGGACAGUUCCUGACACUGAGGCACGAAGGCCAGGGGAGCAAACGGG